rnacentral:tRNA from 2 species
CGGGCUGUGGCGCAGCUUGGUAGCGCACUUGCUUUGGGAGCAAGGGGUCGCCGGUUCGAAUCCGGCCAGCCCGA